rnacentral:rRNA from 1 species
CAGAAACUGACAGGAAGUUGACGGGGCCGCACAAGCGUGGAGCAUGUGGUUUAAUUCGAUGAUACGCGAGGAACCUUACCUGGGCUCAAAUGUAUGUUGACGUAUUCUGAAAGGGAUACUUCUUCGGACAAUAUACAAGGUGCUGCAUGGUUGUCGUCAGCUCGUGCCGUGAGGUGUCGGGUUAAGUCCCAUAACGAGCGCAACCCCUAUCAUUAGUUGCCAUCAGGUCAAGCUGGGGACUCUAAUGAAACUGCCUACGCAAGUAGUGAGGAAGGUGGGGAUGACGUCAAAUCAGCACGGCCCUUACGUCCAGGGCUACACACGUGCUACAAUGGCCGGUACAAAGGGCAGCUACCUGGUGACAGGAUGCUAAUCUCAAAAGCCGGUCUCAGUUCGGAUCGGAGUCUGCAACCCGACUCCGUGAAGCUGGAAUCGCUAGUAAUCGUGAAUCAGAAUGUCACGGUGAAUACGUUCCCGGGCCUU